rnacentral:lncRNA from 1 species
GAAGCCUUUUACCAUCACUGCACCCUCUCCUGGUUGACCUUACCCUGAGAGCUUUCCGUAACUUAAUCCUUUCAUGGGUGUUAUAUGCACCGUGGGGGACAGAAGCAGGAAAGAAAGAGCCAUAGAACAGGAGGGAGAAUCAAGUAUAGAAAUUCAAGGGAAAGGAAAGAAGGGAGUUCAAAAGGGGGGUGGUGGAAUUUAGCAAAGGGGCAUUAGGGGUGGGCCUGGGUGAUAGACUGGGGAGAUGGAGAGAGAAGCUAUAUGAGCACAUAGAAACUAAGAAUGGUGCUGUUCUAGUAUAUAUCAAUAAAUACAAUUCUUCCCUGAAUGUGGAAAGUAAAUUAUAUAAAUCCUAAUACAUGGAGGAAGGGACUGGGAAUCAAUGUAAAAGACUGAAUCUCAAAACCAAAAAAUAAUUGGAGUUGGGGAGCACAAUUGGUGGGAAAGAGAAGGGAAAGAAAAACAAAGACCUAGGGCUUGGAUGAAAACAAGAAAAGGAUCAGGGAUUGCUGUAUGAAAAAUGCCUGCGAGAGAGGAAGACCAGUUCAUACCCAGAGAAAGCUACAGUUGAUGUGGGAUCUACUUGUCAAAAGGCUGUCUGAGAGCAACAAUCCCAAGACUGGGUUAUCCAAGCCAUUGAGAUGGAAGCAGUGGGUACAUUGA